rnacentral:rRNA from 1 species
GACGAACGCUGGCGGCGUGCCUAAUACAUGCAAGUAGAACGCUGAAGGAGGAGCUUGCUUCUCUGGAUGAGUUGCGAACGGGUGAGUAACGCGUAGGUAACCUGCCUGGUAGCGGGGGAUAACUAUUGGAAACGAUAGCUAAUACCGCAUAAUAGUAGAUGUUGCAUGACAUUUGCUUAAAAGGUGCAAUUGCAUCACUACCAGAUGGACCUGCGUUGUAUUAGCUAGUUGGUGAGGUAACGGCUCACCAAGGCGACGAUACAUAGCCGACCUGAGAGGGUGAUCGGCCACACUGGGACUGAGACACGGCCCAGACUCCUACGGGAGGCAGCAGUAGGGAAUCUUCGGCAAUGGACGGAAGUCUGACCGAGCAACGCCGCGUGAGUGAAGAAGGUUUUCGGAUCGUAAAGCUCUGUUGUAAGAGAAGAACGAGUGUAAGAGUGGAAAGUUCACACUGUGACGGUAUCUUACCAGAAAG